GGGCGAUUGGUUUAGUGGUAUAAUACCCCCUUAGCACCGGAUCCGAAUUUACUUCGGCGAUACGCCUGGGGGUGGUCGGGAGUUCGAUUCUCCCAUCGUCCA